AGCAUUCUUCGGGAAAUUCCAGAGCUAACUCUCUUCAAAAAGCAAUUAUUUCUGCAGCUCUUUGGUUUGAUGCAUCCACUCACCAUUUCCAAUGACGAACAGCUUCUAAAUCUACAUUAGCUCCCAAAUUCCCUAAUUUGGACAGAUUUAAGUGCCUGCUUGCCUUCAGCUCUGAUUCAUGUCAGAAGUUACACUGAUAACGUUUCAUAGUGUUGACCUUCCAGCAGAUGUCAGGAGGAUUAAAGACCCCCAUGAAAACCAUGAUCUGCGAUCCAGAUACAUCCUUCAGAUACUAAAAGAAGGUUUCAUCUACUUUUUUACCCUGACCAGAAGGUUUGUAACACACCCAUCACAAUGUCACCCUUGCUGGCCUCUCCUCCAACCCUGACCAACAAGCAGGGACUAAGAAGAUAUCCCUUGGGCCUAUGCUCAACCCCCAGAACCAUGAAGGCACAUCUGAUAUGCAACAGGUCUCCCGUGGCAGUCUUGUCAGUGCUCACAUGGAUGAGUAACAAGAGAUAAUAAUAAUAAAUGAGCCAAAUGAGCCUCAGAAGUUUCUCCUCAACAUCCUUGAUCAAAACCCCCAGCAAGCACCAAAUCUCCCCAGAAAGCAGGUCAAGUCAACAGAAGAGGAGGAAAGGAGUCUCCAAAUACCUUUCCUCUACAGGAAGGAAGGUCUCCAAAUACCAUUACCCACUACUUUUUGGUGCCUGCAUGUGGGUACAGCCUGGCCAACUCUGAUGGCUGACCUUAUCUGCUGAUGUUUUAAAUAAACCUACUAUUUUAAUACAA